GUACUCACUCCCCUUGGCCCCACGUAUCCUGACACUGGAACAGCACAGAGAAGGUAGUAGUAGUAGUAUGGUCCCUGCGCAAGGAUGACACAUAAAUUUAAGAAGUGUUCCAUUUUUUU
ensembl:snRNA LOC120103220 U6 spliceosomal RNA